AGCAAGAUGGCAGAGUGGUCUAAGGCACCUGCAUUUAGGCUGCAGUAUUGAAAGAUACAUGGCUUUGAAUUCCAUCCUUGCCA